AUGAUUUAUAGACUUUUCUUGAUCAACUCCUCUGGAGAUAUUUUCCUGGAGAAACACUGGAGAAGUGUGGUACACUGUUCUGUUUGUGAAUACUUUUUUGAGGUGCAAGAACAAGCUACUGAGGCAGAAAGUGUGCCUCCAGUUAUCCCUACCCCUCACCACUGUCUCUUAAGUGUUUACCACCACAAGAUCUUUUUUUGUGGCUGUGAUCCAGAUGGAGGUCUCCCCUCUAUUUGUCAGAGUUUCUUCACUGAGUAGUGGACACAUUUCAGGACUAUGUUGGAGUCUGUUCAGAAUUAGUGAUGAAGGACAAUGUGAUUGUGAUUUAUGCGGCAUCAGAAGAGACGCUUGGCAAUGGGUUUCCAAGCUGACUCGUUGGCUACCGAGUCAAAUAUCCUCAAAGAAAAGAUAAAGCCUCCCACUAUCCUUCGAACAGUUGUCAACACCAUCACAGGAAGCACCAAUGUGGGUGACCAACUUCCCACUGGAUAACUGUCAAUGGUGCCUUGGCGAGGUACUGGGGUGAAAUACACCAACAAUGAGGCCUAUUUUGAUGUGAUUGAAGAGAUUGAUGCCAUUAUUGAUAAAUCAGGUUCUACAAUUGCUGCUGAAACCCAGGGGAUGAUUGAUGCUGUAUCAAGCUGAUUGGAAUGCCAGACCUUACACUUCCCUUCAUGAACCCCAGGUGGUUGGAUGAUAUCAGCUUCCAUCCUUGUGUUUAAGUGCUGGAAAUCUGAGCAUAUCCUUUCUUUCAUCCCUCUUGAUGGAAAUUUCCGCCUGCUCUCUUAUCCUGUCAGUGCAAAGAAACUGGUUGCAAUCCCAGUGUAUGUCAAAUAUAAUAUCAGUUUCUGAGACAGUAGUUCACUUGUAUGCUUUGGAAUAAUGGUGGGACCCAAGCAGGCAAUGGGGAAGACCACAGAGGGAGUGAUAGUCACCAGCCAGAUGCCCAAAGGGGUCCUAAACGUGAGCCUGACUCCACGACAAAGGAUGUACACGUUCAGCCCAGUCACAGAGAUGCUAUUUUGGGAUGUGGGAAAAACAAAUCCCCACAAGCUACCAAGUUUAAGGAAGACCAUGGGUCUUCACAUUGGAGAUUCCAAACAUAUGAUAAAAUUAACUUGUAGUUAAGAUGCAGCAGCUGGCUAUUUCUGGACUUAGGGUCAUCUGGAUAUGUAUGGAGAAAAGUACAAACCCUUUAAGGGCAUAAAAUACAUGACCAAAGCUAGAAAGUUCCAAGUUUGAACCUGA
rnacentral:lncRNA from 1 species